rnacentral:RNase_P_RNA from 1 species
CCAGACGGUCGGACGGCCGCUGUUGGUGCGCAUAUGCGCAGUGAUGGAGGAAAGUCCGGGCUCCACGGAAGAACGGUGCCGGCUAACGGCCGGCGGGGGCGACCCCAGGGACAGUGCCACAGAAAACAGACCGCCCCCACGGCAGAGGGCCCGGUUUCACGACCGGACCGGAUGUUGGGGGCAAGGGUGAAACGGUGCGGCAAGAGCGCACCGCGCGCAUGGUAACAUGGGCGGCAGGGCAAACCCCACCGGGAGCAAGACCGAAUAGGAACGGCAGGCGGGCGGAUUCCGGUCCGCGCCGCCAGGGGCCUUCCGCCCCGUCGUUCGGGUUGGUCGCGUGAGGCGUGCCGCAAGGCGCGUCCCAGAGGAAUGGCCGUCCCAUCCCCACGGGGAUGGACAGAACCCGGCUUACAGACCGUCUGGCAUC